CCUGGGGAGUACGGCCGCAAGGUUAAAACUCAAAUGAAUUGACGGGGGCCCGCACAAGCGGUGGAGCAUGUGGUUUAAUUCGAUGCAACGCGAAGAACCUUACCUGGUCUUGACAUCCACAGAACUUGCCAGAGAUGGCUUGGUGCCUUCGGGAACUGUGAGACAGGUGCUGCAUGGCUGUCGUCAGCUCGUGUUGUGAAAUGUUGGGUUAAGUCCCGCAACGAGCGCAACCCUUAUCCUUUGUUGCCAGCGGU
rnacentral:rRNA from 1 species